CCUACGGGAGGCAGCAGUGAGGAAUAUUGGUCAAUGGACGAGAGUCUGAACCAGCCAAGUAGCGUGAAGGAUGACUGCCCUAUGGGUUGUAAACUUCUUUUAUAUGGGAAUAAAACGUUCCACGUGUGGGAUUUUGUAUGUACCAUAUGAAUAAGGAUCGGCUAACUCCGUGCCAGCAGCCGCGGUAAUACUGAGGAUCCGAGCGUUAUCCGGAUUUAUUGGGUUUAAAGGGAGCGUAGGUGGAUUGUUAAGUCAGUUGUGAAAGUUUGCGGCUCAACCGUAAAAUUGCAGUUGAAACUGGCAGUCUUGAGUACAGUAGAGGUGGGCGGAAUUCGUGGUGUAGCGGUGAAAUGCUUAGAUAUCACGAAGAACUCCGAUUGCGAAGGCAGUUCACUGGACUGCAACUGACACUGAGGCUCGAAAGUGUGGGUAUCAAACAGGAUUAGAUACCCCUGUAGUC
rnacentral:rRNA from 1 species